rnacentral:rRNA from 1 species
UACAGAGGUCCCAAGCGUUGUUCGGAUUCAUUGGGCGUAAAGGGUGCGUAGGCGGCGCGGUAAGUCGGGUGUGAAAUCUCGGAGCUUAACUCCGAAACUGCAUUCGAUACUGCCGUGCUUGAGGACUGGAGAGGAGACUGGAAUUCAUGGUGUAGCAGUGAAAUGCGUAGAGAUCAUGAGGAAGACCAGUGGCGAAGGCGGGUCUCUGGACAGUUCCUGACGCUGAGGCACGAAGGUCAGGGGAGCAAACGGG